rnacentral:rRNA from 1 species
CCUACGGGGGGCAGCAGUGGGGAAUAUUGGACAAUGGGGGCAACCCUGAUCCAGCCAUGCCGCGUGUGUGAAGAAGGCCCUCGGGUUGUAAAGCACUUUCAGUGAGGAAGAACGCCUGGUGGUUAAUACCCAUCAGGAAAGACAUCACUCACAGAAGAAGCACCGGCUAACUCCGUGCCAGCAGCCGCGGUAAUACGGAGGGUGCGAGCGUUAAUCGGAAUUACUGGGCGUAAAGCGCGCGUAGGUGGCUUGAUAAGCCGGUUGUGAAAGCCCCGGGCUCAACCUGGGAACGGCAUCCGGAACUGUCAAGCUAGAGUGCAGGAGAGGAAGGUAGAAUUCCCGGUGUAGCGGUGAAAUGCGUAGAGAUCGGGAGGAAUACCAGUGGCGAAGGCGGCCUUCUGGACUGACACUGACACUGAGGUGCGAAAGCGUGGGUACCAAACAGGAUUAGAUACCCCAGUAGUC